GCACUUGGCCAUCAAAGUUACCACCUCAAUUAAUGAUGGAGAUCUGAUGGCCCUUAUUUUAUUUUAUUUUUUGAUUUUUCACUUAAUUUCUUUAUUUUGUUUAAUUCAUAGGAAUUUCAUUUUUAAUCCAAAAAAUAUGGGAAUUUCACCAAAAAUCUUUAAAUAUUUUUCUCUUCCAUAUUUUGAAUUAAAAAAAAAAUUGGAUUGAUUUUGAUAUUUUUCAUGAAUUAAAUUUUUUUUGCAUAUUUUUAAUUGUUU
rnacentral:lncRNA from 1 species